UACGAAGGGUGCAAGCGUUGUUCGGAAUCAUUGGGCGUAAAGCGCGCGCAGGCGGAUCAGCAAGUCAGGUGUGAAAUCUCGAAGCUCAACUUCGAAACUGCGCCUGAAACUGCUAGUCUAGAAUGUCGGAGGGGGCAGGGGAAUUUCACGUGUAGGGGUAAAAUCCGUAGAGAUGUGAAGGAACACCGGGGGCGAAGGCGCCUGCCUGGACGACUAUUGACGCUGAGGCGCGAAAGCUAGGGGAGCAAACAGG
rnacentral:rRNA from 1 species